GGCUUAUCACCGGUAACGGCUGAAGCUUGAAGUCUUAUUUUAAAAUCAAGUUUUGGGACUUGGAAGUUGGAAGAACAUCUAUAUUUGUUGUUCCUUCAACCUCGGACUUUAGGGUUUUAACGGUAAAGUAAAACUGCCAUUUAAAAACCUCCAUUAAAAUGGUAUAAUAUUACACAUUUGACAAAAUUUUAUAAUUAUUGUUAAAAUGAAUGUUGAAGUUAACUUACCAUUUGGACGGCUAAGAUUCAAAUUCUCUCAUCCAUCGAUUGAUGUUUUUAAGAGGCACGGUAUCGCCUGCCGUACUGUAGAAUUUUCCUAUAUAUAUAUAUAUAUAAAUCUUUUCUUUUUCUUUUUAU
rnacentral:lncRNA from 1 species